UGGAUGUCCCAACAGAAUGUGUGCCGAGCACACGAACAAGCCAACUGUACCAUUACACUGCCUCGAAGGUCCACAGAAAACCAGCGUGGCCGUGCAGUUCAGAUCAGUGAGGCAGUAGAAGAGCUGGAGAAAAAGAGCCCGCUGUCACUAGCAGGAUUGAUACGUAAAUAAAGCUUCAUGGGACCGCA